CGCGGCCUAUCAGCUUGUUGGUGAGGUAACGGCUCACCAAGGCAUCGACGGGUAGCUGGUCUGAGAGGAUGAUCAGCCACACUGGGACUGAGACACGGCCCAGACUCCUACGGGAGGCAGCAGUAGGGAAUAUUGCACAAUGGGCGAAAGCCUGAUGCAGCAACGCCGCGUGCGGGAAGAAGGCCCUAGGGUUGUAAACCGCUUUCAGCAGGGAAGAAAAUGACGGUACCUGCAGAAGAAGGUGCGGCCAACUACGUGCCAGCAGCCGCGGUGACACGUAGGCACCAAGCGUUGUCCGGAUUUAUUGGGCGUAAAGAGCUCGUAGGCGGUUCAGUUAGUCGGGUGUGAAAACUCUGGGCUCAACCCAGAGACGCCACUCGAUACUGCUGUGACUAGAGUGCGGUAGGGGAGCGGGGAAUUCCUAGUGUAGCGGUGAAGUGCGCAGAUAUUAGGAGGAACACCAGUGGCGAAGGCGCCGCUCUGGGCCGUAACUGACGCUGAGGAGCGAAAGCGUGGGUAGCAAACAGGAUUAGAUACCCUGGUAGUCCACGCCGUAAACGUUGGGCACUAGGUGUGGGUCUCAACCAACGAGAUCCGCGCCGUCGCUAACGCAUUAAGUGCCCCGCCUGGGGAGUACGG
rnacentral:rRNA from 1 species